GACGAACCGAGCGAACGUUGUUCGGAAUCACUGGGCUUAAAGGGCGCGUAGGCGGGCUGCCAAGUCCGUGGUGAAAUCCCCCGGCUCAACCGGGGAAGGGCCUCGGAUACUGGCGGCCUCGAGGGGGGUAGGGGCGUGCGGAACUGUGGGUGGAGCGGUGAAAUGCGUUGAUAUCCACAGGAACUCCGGUGGCGAAGGCGGCACGCUGGACCCCAUCUGACGCUGAGGCGCGACAGCGUGGGGAGCAAACAGG
rnacentral:rRNA from 1 species